AGUUUCAGAUAAUUUUCUUUUUGAAAUAUAAAAUUAGUACAAAUGAUCCAGAUAAAUUAUGUGAUUUAUCAACUUAGUUUACUGAUUUGAAGAUGUUGCAGGACCAAAAAAAUUAAUGCAUUGCUAUGAAUUUUUAGAAUAUGAAUAUGCAAAAUUUAUUUUAAUUCCCACGUUUUAUAAUAAUUUUUCUUCAGAAUUGGGAAUUGUGAUUCUUCUUGUAAAUGUCAAGAUUUCUCGGGAAUGGAAUCUUCAACACAAUCACUACUCAUCACAAUAAUGGCUAUAUCAUCAGCACAAGAAAAAGUGAAGAAAUCUCUCUCAUUGAGUGUAGUUAAAAAAUCAUUCACCAUAAAGUACCAAAGAAAUGGAGAAAGUACUCAUCCCUGUGGACAACACAUCUGCAAAUAUUUUAACUUCCUCCUCAUAGAGUGUAUCAUAAACAACUUUAUGCUUCAAUAUGGAAUCAGUCC
rnacentral:lncRNA from 1 species